rnacentral:rRNA from 1 species
UACGUAGGGGGCAAGCGUUGUCCGGAAUCAUUGGGCGUAAAGCGCGUGUAGGCGGCCCGGUAAGUCCGCUGUGAAAGUCGGGGGCUCAACCCUCGAAUGCCGGUGGAUACUGUCGGGCUAGAGUGCGGGAGAGGCGAGUGGAAUUCCUGGUGUGAGCGGUGAAAUGCGCAGAUAUCAGGAGGAACACCAAUUGCGAAGGCAGCGUCGCUGGAACGGUACUGACGCUGGAGAACGCGAAAGCCGUGGGGAGCAAACAGG